AUUCACUUCACUUCAGUCGACUGGUACGCGAAUUCCAUCAUGGGUAGCAGCGGAAGUAAAGACGAUGGCGGUUACGUAGAGCGGUCGUCGAGCAGCGCCGUCGAUUGCUACGGGGGAAGUUCAGUCAAAACUCAAACUCACCUCAGUACUUCCUACGGUCCUGGCAACGCUUCGGUGACGAAUGCAAAGACUGUCACCGUCAGGGAAAGUCCUGCUGGAGUCUCCACUACGUACAAGGAUGUGCAGACACAUUUCAGUCCCCAUAAGUAGAUUAGAUAAACACAUUUCAGGGAUAAACACAUCACAUUUCAGAGAUAAACACAUCACAUUUCAGAGAUAAACACAUCACAUUUCAGAGAUAAGCACAUCACAUUUCAGAGAUAAAGCAUAGCUUUAUCUCUCAUAUGCACCGUAACUAACAUUAAAAUUGCGUCAGUGAGAAUAGUAAGCAAGUUCAUUAAUAAAGUUUUUGAGGGAAGUGAUGCAACUUGACGCCAUAUUUAUUAUUAGUCACGAUGAAAACUGCGAUUUGUUAUUUAUCUUGCCGUUGUGUAUUGUUGUGUUACUCGUCACGAAUAUCAUCGCGUGGCUUGACUCGAUGAUCACUCAACUUGGAGUUCCGUUUGAAACGAGAGUUCUGCAAAUUUUGAGAGAAAUUUUCCUAAUAAAACUUCAAUUUUAUUUGCUGUGAUUAUGCGUAUCCUUAGGAUUAUGAAUUUAGUCCAGAAAAUAGUCGUAUUUUUCAUGUUUAUUAUAUCUGCACAUUAAUCCGGAGGGUAGAGUUUUUACUUUCGCAGUGAUUCUAUGCGUUUAAUCAGAAUUUGUCAUUUGCUUUUUAUCGGUAAACUUCGUAGGUCAGAAGACAUAAUGUGAUCAGAAGACAAUCAGUUUGUUGUUUCAUUUACUUGCUCCGUGAUUUGGUCGAAAAUAAAUUCUUUUGGA